rnacentral:tRNA from 1 species
GUUAUGGUUCAGUGGUAGAGCACUUGUCUCACGUGCAUGGGGCACUGGGUUCAACCCUCAGCACCACA